rfam:Brachypodium distachyon strain Bd21 chromosome 2, whole genome shotgun sequence.
UUGCUACUCUUUCCGUUUCAUAAUUCUUGUCUCAAAUUUGAUCAAGAAUGGAUGUACCUAUUCCUAAAAAGUGUCUAGGUACAUGUAAGAUUUGGACAAGAAUUAUGGAACGGAGGGAGUAGAAA